ACUCAAAUGAAUUGACGGGGGCCCGCACAAGCGGUGGAGCAUGUGGUUCAAUUCGACGCAACGCGAAGAACCUUACCUGGACUCGAAAUGCAGCCGACGGCUUCAGAGAUGAGGCUUUCCCGCAAGGGACGGCUGUAUAGGUGCUGCAUGGCUGUCGUCAGCUCGUGUCGUGAGAUGUUGGGUUAAGUCCCGCAACGAGCGCAACCCUCACCCUUUGUUGCUCGCCCGCAAGGGAAGCACCCGAAGGGAACUGCCCCGGAUAACGGGGAGGAAGGUGGGGAUGACGUCAAGUCCUCAUGGCCUUUAUGCCCAGGGCUACACACGUGCUACAAUGGCCGGUACAAACCGUCGCCAACUCGCGAGAGGGAGCCAAUCGGAAAAAACCGGUCUCAGUUCGGAUUGCAGUCUGCAACUCGACUGCAUGAAGCUGGAAUCGCUAGUAAUCGCGUAUCAGAACGACGCGGUGAAUACGUUCCCGGGCCUUGUACACACCGCCCGU
rnacentral:rRNA from 1 species